UACAGAGGUCUCAAGCGUUGUUCGGAUUCAUUGGGCGUAAAGGGUGCGUAGGCGGCGCGGUAAGUCGGGUGUGAAAUCUCGGAGCUUAACUCCGAAACUGCAUUCGAUACUGCCGUGCUUUGAGGACUGGAGAGGAGACUGGAAUUUACGGUGUAGCGGUGAAAAUGCGUAGAUAUCGUAAGGAAGGCCAGUGGCGAAGGCGGGUCUCUGGACAGUUCCUGACACUGAGACACGAAGGCCAGGGGAGCAAAACGGG
rnacentral:rRNA from 1 species